GUACAUCCAGAGAACUUAGCAGAGAUGCUUUGGUGCCUUCGGGAACUCUGAGACAGGUGCUGCAUGGCUGUCGUCAGCUCGUGUUGUGAAAUGUUGGGUUAAGUCCCGNAACGAGCGCAACCCUUAUCCUUUGUUGCCAGCGGUUCGGCCGGGAACUCAAAGGAGACUGCCGGUGAUAAACCGGAGGAAGGUGGGAUGACGUCAAGUCAUCAUGGCCCUUACGGCCAGGGCUACACACGUGCUACAAUGGCGCAUACAAAGAGAAGCGACCUCGCGAGAGCAAGCGGACCUCAUAAAGUGCGUCGUAGUCCGGAUUGGAGUCUGCAACUCGACUCCAUGAAGUCGGAAUCGCUAGUAAUCGUAGAUCAGAAUGCUACGGUGAAUACGUUCCCGGGCCUUGUACACACCGCCCGUCACACCAUGGGAGUGGGUUGCAAAAGAAGUAGGUAGCUUAACCUUCGGGAGGGCGCUUACCACUUUGUGAUUCAUGACUGGGGUGAAGUCGUAACAAGGUAGGCGUAGCGAG
rnacentral:rRNA from 1 species